rnacentral:tRNA from 1 species
UGGGAUAUAGCCAAGUGGUAAGGCCCUCGUUUUUGGUACGAGUAUUACAAAGGUUCGAAUCCUUUUAUCCCAA